rnacentral:rRNA from 1 species
UACGGGGGGGGCAAGCGUUGUUCGGAAUUACUGGGCGUAGAGGGCUCGUAGGUGGCCGACUAAGUCGGACGUGAAAUCCCUCAGCUUAACUGGGGAACUGCGUCCGAUACUGGAUGGCUUGAGUUUGGGAGAGGGAUGCGGAAUUCCAGGUGUAGCAGUGAAAUGCGCAGAUAUCAGGAGGAACACCGGUGGCGAAGGCGGGUCUCUGGGCCGAUACUGACGCUGAGGAGCGAAAGCGUGGGGAGCGAACAGG